rnacentral:rRNA from 1 species
AUUGAACGCUGGCGGCAGGCCUAACACAUGCAAGUCGAGCGGAGCGGCGGACGGGUGAGUAAUGCCUAGGAAUCUGCCUGGUAGUGGGGGAUAACGUCCGGAAACGGGCGCUAAUAUCGCAUACUCUCAGAUGAGCCUAGGGGGGAUUAGCUAGUUGGUGGGGUAAAGGCCUACCAAGGCGACGAUCCGAAACUGGUCUGCUAGGAUGAUCAGUAAAACUGGAACUGAGACACGGCCCAGACUCCUACGGGAGGCAGCAGUGGGGAAGAGUGGACAAUGGGCGAAAGACUGAUCCAGCACUGCCGCGUGUGUGAAGAAGGUCUUCGGAUUGUAAAGCACUUUAAGUUGGGAGGCGGUACCAACCGAGUAAGCACCGGCUAACUUCGUGCCAGCAGCCGCGGUAAUAC